UUAGCAACCCCAGCUUAUCACUGAUAAGCCUCCAGAUUAACUGGAAAACUGCAGAAAUCUGACCCCAGUCGUAAACUUUUUCAUGUAAAAUCAUCAAAUGAUAAUCAAUCAAAACAAGAUAUACAUGUUUAAAAAGCUAAUAAAAUUAUCUACAAUUUGCAUAUUUUACUUGUUAUUUUAUUGCCAUAUUAUCGGAUUUAUGAUCUUGUUAUCCAACAGAUCACGGUAAUUUACACCCGAUCUCAGAUAAACAGUAAACAUGCAGCGUUCGCGUGACACCAUGUGUCUUUGUUUCAAUAUGCGACUGGUUUAAUAGCUAUGAAUAUUAAUGAGUUUAAUAUAUCCAAUCAGAAAAAAGGUUUAUGAAUACAUUACAACUUGAUGCAUAUUCGUACGAUACUUAAAAGGAAAGAUAUAGUCCCCCAAAGUUGACCGUUUUUUUCUCAGAAAAUACGAAUUUUUCAGACAUGCACCAUGCACCAAUGCAAAAUAUACAUUCUGAAGUUUAAUUUGGUACCAAAAUCAUUUUUCGGAAACGCCAUUUACCCGGUCGCAUUUAUUUCUGAAAAUUGCAAUUUUCGGAAAAUCCAAAGGUCACGCACGUUUCAGGCCGACCGCCAUUUUGAAAUUUAUGAUAACACAACACCGAUACAAAAUAUCGUUAAAAAUCAAUAAAUCUGUUCAUUAAAAAAACAGGAAAACGAUUAAAAAUGAAAUGAAUGUUAAAUCAUAACAUUUGGUCAGCUAUGACAGAGAUAUACCUAGGCCCAUUUUGUGAUUGUGAUGCACACAGUACUAUCACAAAGUUAUAGACUGGACGUAUCAAGAAAACAAUCAAACCAUUAUUAAACAGCAUUAUGAUUGAAAUAAACCAUUUUGUCAAGACACCGGGGUUCAAAUAAAGUGAUUUGUUUAAUGUCUUUGUGCAUUCAAAUCAGUGUCAAUAAGACUGACAACUGGUACCCUGGCUUUGGAGAAAGUUGUGAAUGAUUCUACAGCGGUUGUCAAGUUCAUGACUCACUGUUGUAAGCUGGCCACUGAGAGAAGAUAAGCAAGUUAUAAACAUUUAGUUCGUGAUUGGCCAGAAAUUGGUGCCAGACUGUAUAAAUGCGGUUAGAUGAUGCCAUCAUGGUGAACAUAAGCACUUACAUACGGUAUUCAGCCAGUUCAGCAGUGACUUUUUCCGUUAACGUUAACCACACUACCAGUAGAAGUUGAAUUCAAAACUGACAUUUUUCAUUUCACUUUUAAUUAGUUCAAUGACACUCUUGGGUCUAGUAAAUAUGUAUCAUAGUUUUUAUGAGCAGCUUGAAAUGAAUAAUUGCAGGUGGAAAUAAUUCUUUAUCAAGAGUAAAACUAUUUAAAUUAAUGGUAGAUAAUUUUAGCAAGUCGUAGCAGUCUAAUAGUGAAAAAAUAUUCAACAGAAAAAUAUGAAAUCAAUAUUAUUUGAAAAUAUUAUAUUUUAUUUAUAAACUUGUUCUAUGUAUAAUAAAUGUAUCUACACUGUCUUGUUCUGUAGUAAUAUUUAAAUAAAUCUGUUAAAGUGAUCAUGAAAAUGUAUGUGUAAGUGACAACUGAAAUUAUUUGAAAAUAAUGUAAAAACUUGAAAAAUAAAUUGCAUCAACCUGA